CUGUGAUAUUUAUAUGUUUCCCAUCAAUGGCCCCGAUGCAGUUUGGAAAGUUCCAUCUACUCCAAAAUGCAGCUGCAAUGUCUCUCCACAUCUGCUCUGUAGGCAUGGGAAACUGGCUGUCCAUCAUCCGCCUCUCUAUUGCCCGGCAAGUUGUGUGUACAGUGGUGGACACUGUGCUCUUCCCUAAUCUGUAUUGGAAAGCCAGGCUGUGGAAUGAUUCCCCUGUAGCAAGGAAUCUGUGGAAAAAAAGAAAAAAAUUAUCUAUAUUGAUAAUAUCAAAAUAUGUGAGAGAAGAGGAGAUAGAAAACAUGAGCUUGAUAGUCAGGAGGAAAACUGAAAGUAGGUUGGCCUGUGUGAAUCAAAAACUACACUAAAAAGUAUUUAAUUAUAAUAAAAAUAACAUUAUUGCAAUACAAUUUUCAUGUUAUUAUAUUAAGUUUUGUUAUUGUUUCUUAAUAAUUCAUGUCUUUUACCGUCUCACAGUGGAAGAAUGCAAAAGAAGAUGGAAGCAACUGCGGGACGCCUUUGUGAAAAAUAAAAACAAAAGUGUUCCAAGUGGGUCUAUGGGUGGGACUUCGAAAGACUGGAAAUACAGCAACCUCAUGUCUUUCUUGAUUCCCCACAUGCAACCAAGAAGUUCCAAAAGUACUCUCCGGCCUAUGAAUGUCUCUCUGGAAACAUCUGAAGAACAUAGUUCUGAUGCUGGACCUUCUGGAGUUCUUUCAAGGCCUGUGACACCAUCUACCCCCACACCAAGGUCUGCAUCUUCCUCUCCACUUCCAACAGAGGGAGGGCAGGCCUCUUUCCAGCUCUGCAACCCCCCAGCGCAUCCCAGAGUUCAGGCCUUGUCAGCAACAGCUCCCACAGAAACACCCCAAACACAAAGAAAGCGAAGUAAACGGUCAAGUUUGGAAGGACCAACAGAGCAACAGCUACUACAAUUUUUAACAGCAGAUCAAGUACCAGUCCCUCCGCAUGUUCCAAAGGACAACGAAGAAAUGUAUUUCUUUGCACUCAGCCUUGUCCCUAUGUUAAACAGACUGCAUCGUAGUUCACAAACAGCCGCUAAAUUACACAUAUUAAAAUAUCUUGCAGAUUUGGAAAACUCAGAAAUGACCCAUGCAUCUUCUACACCAACUACAUCACAAUGGCAACAGGCACCACAGUUACAAAGUCAUGAAUACCAAUCUUCUUAUCCAGGGUCGUCAGCAUAUUUUCAUCCAAUCCGUGCCCCACCCUCUUCAACAUAUCAACAACAAAUUGAACACACAAUGUCCCCCUCACAGCAGGGACAGCGAUGCAUCCCAACGAGCACUCCAGCUCAACAAAGGAGUGUGAAGAGGAGCGCAUCUAUGAUGGAAGAAAUUGAAGACCUCUCAUCCCCCACAGCAUUCCACCAUUUUGAGUAGUCUCCCCUAAACUUUUUUUUAUUGUAUUUUGGUUUUCAUUGUCCUUGCUUUUUAAUGUUAUAUUUUAACAUUUUGUAUAAUAAUUCCUUUUUUUGUACUUUUAUUAGUUGUUACAUACUGUUAAGGUGUUGGAUUUUAGUUUUGCUGUUAAUAAUAAUAAAAAAAAAAAUCAAACAUUA